UUUCUUUCCAAUGCCUAUUCUAUACGAAGGACUAGCGGCAGUGUUGGCAAGUCCAACAGCAGUGCCAGCACCCUCGCCAGUCAAUUUAACAUCGAUUUUCAGCACAGCCUGGACAAGUACUUCAGAGACGCGACCCAGUUGACUAUAGAUUACGUCUGUAGUCAGAUUCAGAAACAAUAUGCUGGUGAAGUGAAUUCCGCUCUCAUUCGUGCCCUGGUCACCGCAGUAUCCAAGAGUUCUAUCGAAGGACUUGGUACUGAAAGCCGACUGAAAGUAAAGUGAACAACACUGUCUUGAAAAAUCGGACCUAGGUUAUUGAUGAUGGG